rnacentral:rRNA from 1 species
GGGGGGGGGGGGGGGGGGGCUGGGGGGGUGCGGGUCGGAGGGGGGGGGGUGCUUUCCCUUGGGGAUGGCGGGUACUGGGGUGGGGAAGGGGUGAGUAACACGUGCGUGGUCUGCCCGCAACUUGGGUAUCAGCCUGGGAACGUGGGUCUGCUUCCCGAUCGGGCUGCAGGGUGGUGCCUGUUGUGGAAGACGAUUGUCUAGUGGCUGGGGAUGCGCUCGCGGCCUAUCAGCUUGUUGGUGGGGUAAUGGCCUGCCAAGGCGGCGACGGGUAGCCGGCCUGGGAGCGUGGACGACCACAGUGGGACUGAGAUACGGCCCAGACUCCUACGGGAGGCAGCAGUGGGGAAUAUUGCACAAUGGGCGGAAGCCUGAGGCAGCGACGCCGCGUGGGGGAUGACGGCCUUCGGGUUGUAAACUCCUUUCGACCGCGAGGAAGCCACCUGGUUGGAAGGGUGGUGACGGUAGUGGUAGAAGAAGCACCGGCUAACUACGUG